rnacentral:rRNA from 1 species
AGUGAACGCUGGCGGCAGGCCUAAUACAUGCAAGUCGAACGGCAGCACAGCAGAGCUUGCUCUGUGGGUGGCGAGUGGCGGACGGGUGAGGAAUACAUGGGAAUCUGCCCAGUCGUGGGGGAUAACGUAUGGAAACGUACGCUAAUACCGCAUGCGCCCUACGGGGGAAAGUCGGGGACCGCAAGGCCUGACGCGAUUGGAUGAGCCCAUGUUCGAUUAGCUAGUUGGCGGGGUAAAGGCCCACCAAGGCGACGAUCGAUAGCUGGUCUGAGAGGAUGAUCAGCCACACUGGAACUGAGACACGGUCCAGACUCCUACGGGAGGCAGCAGUAGGGAAUAUUGGACAAUGGGGGCAACCCUGAUCCAGCCAUGCCGCGUGAGUGAAGAAGGCCCUCGGGUUGUAAAGCUCUUUUGUCCGGAAAGAAAAGCAAUCGGUUAAUACCCGGUUGUUCUGACGGUACCGGAAGAAUAAGCACCGGCUAACUUCGUGCC